rnacentral:snoRNA from 13 species
UGAUGGUUGAAAUAUGAUGAGUAUAGAGUCUUGAUUUCAAAAAAUGAAAAGAUACAAGAUCCAACUCUGAUUUCACCCAAAG